rnacentral:sRNA from 2 species
AAUACUUAAUCGCUGAAUUCCUUAUAGGAAGCGGGGGAACCAGGUUAUAUGGGGUGAAUCUCGGAUAAACGAGUAGGGCUACUUUCAGGGCCCGAAUCCGGCAGCUAACCCCGCAAGCGUUCAUGAGAGGAUGC